UACGUAGGGUGCUAGCGUUGUUCGGAAUCAUUGGGCGUAAAGCGCGUGUAGGCGGUUUGAUAAGUCGAAUGUGAAAUCCCCCGGCUCAACCGAGGAAGUGCAUUCGAAACUAUCUGGCUAGAAGAUGGCAGAGGAAGGUGGAAUUCCAAGUGUAGAGGUGAAAUUCGUAGAUAUUUGGAGGAAUACCGGUGGCGAAGGCGGCCUUCUGGACCAUUCUUGACGCUGAGACGCGAAAGCGUGGGGAGCAAAC
rnacentral:rRNA from 1 species